rnacentral:rRNA from 1 species
UACAGAGGCCUCGAGCGUUAGGCGGAAUCACUGGGCUUAAAGCGCGUGUAGGCGGAUCGUUAAGUGUCUUGUGAAAUCCCACGGCUCAACCGUGGAACCGCUGGGCAUACUGGCGAUCUUGAGCAGUCCAGGGGCGAGCGGAACAAGCGGUGGAGCGGUGAAAUGCGUAGAUAUCGCUUGGAACGCCGACGGUGAAAACAGCUCGCUGGGGACUCGCUGACGCUGAGACGCGAAAGCGUGGGGAGCGAACAGG